rnacentral:rRNA from 1 species
CCUACGGGUGGCAGCAGUGAGGAAUAUUGGUCAAUGGGCGUAAGCCUGAACCAGCCAAGUCGCGUGAGGGAUGAAGGUUCUAUGGAUCGUAAACCUCUUUUAUACGGGGAUAAAGUGCGAGACGUGUACCGUUUUGUAUGUACCUUAUGAAUAAGGAUCGGCUAACUCCGUGCCAGCAGCCGCGGUAAUACGGAGGGUCCGAGCGUUAUCCGGAUUGAUUGGGGUUAAAGGGUGCGUAGGCGGCCUAUUAAGUCAGCUGUGAAAUUCUGUGGCUUAACCAUAGAAUUGCCGUUGAAACUGGGAGGCUUGAGUGUGUUUGAGGCAGGUGGAAUGCGUGGUGUAGCGGUGAAAUGCUGAGAUAUCACGAAGAACGCCGAUUGCGAAGGCAGCCUGC